rnacentral:lncRNA from 12 species
AUGAGUAAGGAUGUUUUCAAGAGUUUUCUUGGAGGAGGUGAUAAUAGUUACAAUAACCAUCUACUGAGGACUUACUCUGAUGCAGCCUUGGGAUUUGUCUUGACUGAGGCAACUUGUAUGUGCAGUGGAAGGACACUAAGCUGGGUUACAGAGAUCAGAAGAAUGGACCCGUGUCAAGUGCUUUGUCCUCUGACUAAUGAUGAUGGGCUUGAGUCUCCUAGAACUUUCCCCAGCAAAAUAACACAUCUUGUUAAGGAGUGUACCAGAUAAAUCUAAGUACAGCAUGGAUGCUCACAGAUAGCUCAAAGGUAUGAUGCUGGACACUGAGAUGUUCUUUCCAGGGAAAGAGCUGGGAGGGGCCAGCC